UUAAGCCCGGGUUGUUGUUUCAGAAGCCCGGGGUCUUUUGCAGUGUAAUUUGUUUCACAGUUAGAUGCCUGACUGACAACUGUAUAAAACAAAAACUACACACAAUAUUCAAAGCACAUAGCGCACAGUCGUAAAUUCCCCCUAAUUUUGGUAUGAUCCGAGCUCAGGCACUAGCCGACUGAGCGCAGCACCCAUGUGAGCCAGGGGGGAGAAGCUGCUGCGACUUUGCUGCAGACAGAGGAGAGCUUAAGUUUGACCAGUUGUUACCCUCCACGACUAAACAAAGCACUCUAAAUUGGUUUCAGUUAUGUACUGAUGAACAGAACAAUGAACAUAAGGAGCUUCUUUCAAAGACAAAAACUCAGCACAGAGAGGGAGAGAGAGGAACAGAGAGGAGAAUGAGGACAGAACAGAGAUGGAACAAGAGCCAGAUAGGUCAGGGGAAAUCAGGAAAGCGACAGAAAACCAAAACACAACAGCAUCACAGCAGGAAGCAGCAGGUGGAUCUUUAAGGACAGCUGAAGGAGGUUUACUGGAAGGAGCAGCAGGAGAUGAUUUAGGAACUCUAGGAAGUGGUCCAAGACAAACUGUCCUCACACAGUUUCCACUGAGCCAGUUUGGAGGCCAGCAGAGGGCGUUCAAUAAGAGUUGAACAGUUUAAAUGGUUGGAGUAUUCAGUUGUGACGAACUUUGCUUUCUUUUUUUCAUGUUGCAUUUUGAAAAGCAGAAUACUUAAAAAAAAAAAAAAAGAUGGCCUCGGUCUUUCAGGGUUCUGCAACUGGAAGAGGGCUUUAGAUGCCUUUAGGAGUACGAAAAGAGUUCCAACUGUUCGUCGUCUAUGAUAAGCUGGCACAGCUUUAAAACCACAAAAAAUCAAGGUGAUGUUGUUGAGGAACUUACAUCAGCAAACAACACGACAGUAUCUCCACAGGAUCUUAGCUGUAACAAGUUUCCUUGGAAAACAAGGAAUACCAUUCUGUGGCCAUGAUCAGCAGGAAUCCACCAGUCAUCAUCAAGGGAACUUCCUUGAGUGCAUGAAGCUGCUGAAGAUUAUUUGAUCAAUAUUUCAAAAAUUACAGUCCUGUCUCACAUAUUAUCUAUCUGUCUCAUUUUUCACAAAAUGAGAUGAUAACCAGUAUUUCACAUGAAAUAACUGGAAAUAUAGUUAAAGAGAUGAAGGAAGCUAAGAUGUACUCUGUUAUGGCUGAUGAGGCUAGAGAUGGGCACACGGAACAACUUGCAGUUUGUGUAUGUUUUGUGUCAUGUAAAGGCCAUUUCAAAGAGUGUUUUCGUGGUCUACGGAAACUAGAAAGGUUUGCAUUACAGACCCUAUUGAGGAGCUGUUGCAGUAUUACACGCUCAGUGACUUACUUUGUGUUGCACAAUCCUAGUUCGCAGAAGUCGAGUCUACGGUAGUGCAGAGUCUACGCUGUCUGUAAACCGUUACGUCUUUUCAUUGGCCCGGAGUCUACGGUGAGCAUAGACACUGUAGACUCAGGUCAAUAAGAGCACCGAACCCCACUGUAGACGACCAAUCGUCUGGUCAACGGAAGUUGCGUCACCAAAACAACAAAACGCAGCGGAACAGCGAGGAAGCCGGCAAGUCCACUAUUUUUUAUGGAAACUGGCAUUUCUUUUAUGUUUACGUCUUGGUAUGGCGACACCAACGAUUCGGGUAGUUAAUCCAGAUGCCCCUGCACAUCGUCAGCUGGCACUACUUAUGGCAACCAAAGAGGCACGUUACUACCGGGUGAGAAGUAUGGUCUUCCCCAAACCUCCACAGGAGCUGCUCAGCCAAAUCACUGCAUUGAUUCACGCAGAGAAGCUUCUUCAAGCCGAGGGUAUCCACGCGCCUUCACGUCAGCAGUGCCUGGGAAAGCUGGUGGUGCCAUUUGGACAAUAUGAAAAUGUGGGGGAUAUAUGAAGUAGUGAGUGUAUCAUAUAUUUAAUACCAUACUAUAGGCAGGUUUACUGAACUUCCAUUUACUGCACAUUUCCCCGUGUAAGGCUAUUAUCAGUAUAUCUUGUUCGUUGUAAACUUUCUUUAAGUCUGUAAUAUUCACGGAGAUAUUGCUGACAGUAUGUAUGAUUCCAGCAUACUUGACAGGCACAGAACAGAGGUGACAAAUCCACAAAGAAAGGGAGAGAUAGGGAACCAGUGGGUGAAGGAUUACCUCACAGAAUAUGCAAGUCUCUGUAGUCCUCAAGGCCAACAUUGACAGGUGCGUCUAUGGUCAGAAAGGGUUUGAACAUCCCACCUUUCAAGAGAUGUGGGAAUUACAUUGUCAGUACAGCAGCCAAAAGGACGGACCUGAGAAGUUCAGUGAUGAGCAGAGGGAGGUCAUUCAGAAGGCACACAGUUCUGUGAAGAGGUGGUUGAACACACCAGUGACGCACAUCACGAGCAUCCAAAUGAAGAGGUUCAGAAAAUAUAUAAAUGACAAGGAACAAGUAAGUGCUAUGGAGGAGAACAGCAGAACAGGGCAGUAAGUGACUUAGUUAAAGAUAAUGAUAUGUGAUUAAUCUUGCCGAAGUGUGCAUGUGCAUUUUUUUCCAUCAAUCGUGGUACUCACAAUAAACUGUAUUGUUUAGCAACAGCUGACAAGUACCCCCAGGUGUGAUCCUUCAUUGUGGCCAGGUGAUGAUGCUGAACUGAUAGCUGCAUCCCAGUCUGUGGAAGAUUCACUGAAGUCCCAACACUCCUUGUCUGCAAGUCAACCUCUAAAGCAACGGCUGACAAGCAGAGGUGCUUCCUCCUCCCAGACGUCUGGAACACAGGAGAACUCAGCUCACCUGUCCAAGGAGUUUGAGAACACUGUACAGUCACAUCAAAAUAAAGCUACUGUGCAGCCCAAACAUCGUGAGUCCACAGAGGCUGCUGUACGGUCCAAAAAACUUGACACCAUUGGACUCACUGAGUCAUCUGCAUCCCAGGGUCAUGAUCAUACAACACAAUUACCGUUGAGUCAUUCACCUGUGGAGACAGAGGGAUGGGUGCGUCUCUGGGAAAAUUCCAAUGGUAUCCCAUCUGCUGACAUUUCCUGGCUUAAAGAGGACACUGAAAGAGGGCUGUUUACCCCUGUUCAGACAUACAAGGAUGUUACUGGUGUGUUAAAGAGGCGACAGGUGAUUAAAUCAGAUCGCAUGUGGUUUUACCCACCAGAACCUCCUGGCGUUGCGGUUGUUGUUGUUGUUUUUUUCGCGUAGUCUUUACAACACAAUGAUCACAACAUUAUACUUCUUCUUCUAUCUUUUACAAAACCUUACAUUACAGUCAGAAUCAAGUUCACUGAUUGAUUGCAGUGCUGUCUUUGUGUUUUACUGAUUGAUUGCAGUGUUGUCUUUGUAUUUCACUGUUUCAUUCAUUUUAAUAAAGUGUUUUGUAUUACA